ACACACGCUACUCGAUAUCGCGAUUGGCAAAGCCAAUUGUAGGAUGACGAAAGCAUUCGUCCUUCCAGCUAAAUCCCCUGUCAACGAAAUCGCAUAAUGAACCACUCGUCAAUCGUGAAACCCAAGCGAGCAGAAGUUCUAUUUCAUUCGCUAUUCUGUCGUCGAGUAACAUCUUCGCGACCAACUAGCGUCAACAGACUUUUCAUUCCUCCGCCACGUUUUUUCCCCGUCGAUGUACUAAAAGUGAUUUACAAGCGGGCAAUAUGAUCGAUUUUGGCACAAGUCGUGAGAAUUAAUCUGUUUGGCGAUGAGGCAGUGUGCCUGAGGCUGACAUGACGCGCCACCUUUUUAAUUAUCGUACAAAACAUGGUUUCCUGCACUUUUUUCUUGCGACCGCGUAGUAUGUCAUUGAGGAAACCAUGAGCACGAAUGGCCAAGCAAAGGUCGCGUUCCUUCAAAUACGAUAAUUUAUAAUUUCGACGUACGAGCGGAGAAUCUUGAAUUUCGGACGCGAUCGGAAUUUCUCGAGGCACCAUCGAACCAUUUGGCAUGCGCAAAACUCGUCGGAAUAUGAAGUACAUGUUUAGUGUACUAUAAAUGACUUUAAGGACACCUAAACCUAUUAAAACAUUACUCGAUGGAAAAAUGAUAUUACCGUACUUCACAGUGUUUAAAACAGAUUAGAAACGGGGACAAAAUUUCUAAUGAGACAUUCACGAAAUUCGUUUACUCCACUUCAUUCGUUGUCCUGUACUCGAAAAUUUAGUACACGUACGAUAAAGAUAUAGUUUAAACGUCAGUUUUUGAUUUAAACGGUCUAUGUUAUAUGUAUGCUGGAUACAUUAAUUCUAAGUUAACAAGAAAAUUAGCAGAUUUCGCAAUUUGGUCGAUAACGUAACAAGAUGACAGGAUGAUGUGAUGAAACUCGAAUGAAUAUUCGAACAGUUUCCAGUGUUUAGAAUACUUAGUGGAUCGUUUCAUGUAUAAAUAAGAAUGUAAGCUUUAACGCGUAAAGAUAAGAAUUAUUCUUGCUUUUUGUUGAUUCACUAGUAACAAUGGUAGUUGAUAUGCAGACCGUGUACAUGGAAUUCUUUAAUUUUAUUACGAUUCUAAGUGAUAUUUCUCCGUGGGAGUAUCCUUCGUUCGGAGGUAACGAAGGACGACAGCUAGUUUCUUCACGAGGUUACGAGUAUUCUGUUUCUAUCGAGAACUUGAAACGACGAUACUUACUUUAUUGUUUAUUAUAAUUACAUAAGACACUACAAAAUCAUUUACAAGAAUAUCUUUUCCCUUUUAUUUUAUGUAGGUGAUCGAUUAUUGAAAGGUCAAUUAAUGGGAAAUUUGGAGAUGAUCCCUUGUAAGAACGACUAGAAGCCAAGACCAGAGACUGGAAGAAAUUAUUACAUUUCUAUUGAAACAUUUUUAUUUCUAUUAAUCUUUAAUCGGUUCUUCCAUCAGAAUAAAGAGCUAUAAAUAAUUCGAAUUUUGCUGCUAAUAAUUAUAGAGGGAUCACGCCCAAUAUCCACAUCUAUAUGAAUAGAUUAUAUUUCGAAGAACUAUAAAACACAAAUAUCGUCUUCUAACCUUAAUAAAUUCGUCCCUGAAAAGAUUAAGCUAAUCUAAAAUUCUAAACCUUUCUCUCGUGAAUUCUUUCUCUUCGUCGACCUUACAACGAUUCCCAACUUUUACCCAACGUUCCAUAAAUAUCUGACCUUAAAUAAAAUACGUACAGUUAAAACGAGCAAACCAUAGACUUGAAGUACCUGUUAACAGCGAAAUUCUCGAGGGUGUGGAAAAAACAGGAAAAAAUCUACAGUUUGCACUGACACGCGAGAAUCGUGUGUCUAUUUUAAGCCGUAGAUCUUGCAAAAUUACCGGACCGUUUCAGGUGGCUCUCGAUGCACACGCAAAAAGCUUAUUUUUCGCCAGCAGCGACAUAGACGAUCGCGCUUCUAACGGUACGUAACGGUUGGGAAUCGCCGGUUGUAAGGUGCUCGUUUCCUCGGCAACUGCCACGAGGAUCCAGGAAGAAACGCGGAUUCACCGCGAUACCGGCAAGAACACCGCGUUUAUAAUGCCGAACGUCAUUACGUGCUUUCCUGAGGGCUUCUAUUCCUGGCUGAAACGACAGUCCCGCUUCUGAGUACACGAUUUUUCGUUCUCAUCGCGGAAUAACACGGGUGCAGAUAUUUUCAACGUCGUCCAUCUCAGAAUACGCGUUUAUCUAAUAUUGUACUAAGUUUACCUAUUAACCUUGCUUGAUAUUCGAGCAAUUGCUUCUCAGCUGAUUACUGUAAUUUGUCUUCAGGAUGAAUGAUUGGAGCAAUGGGUAUUUUU